AGUCAUAGGUUCGUCUCAUAGAUACAUUCUGCCCCCUGUAUGGUAUAAAGGGCCGCAGAACUUUAACUGUGCUAAGGUAGCGUAAUAGUUUGUCUUUUAAAUGAAGACUGUAUGAAUGGCAACACGUGGCUCUACUGUCUCUUGUAGAUUUUGUGGAAGUUACUUAGUGGGUGAAAAUACCCACCAAAAGAAAAAGGACGAGAAGACCCUGAGAGCUUUUACGAGAAGUCGAAAAGGCUCCUGUUUUUGUUGGGGCAACAGAGGAGCAGAAUAACCUCCUUUGCUUAACCUGCCCCCUGUGGGUUAAAGAAUAAGCUACCUCAGGGAUAACAGCAUAAUUUUUUAAAAAGCUUGUGACCUCGAUGUUGGACUAGGGAAACUAAGGUUCAGAAGAUCUUUGUGUGCGCUCUGUUCGAGCUUUCCCCCU
rnacentral:rRNA from 1 species